rnacentral:rRNA from 1 species
CCUACGGGGGGCAGCAGUGGAGAAUAGUCUACAAUGGUCGGAAGACUGAUAGUGCGACGCCGCGUGAACGAGGAAGCCCUUCGGGGUGUAAAGUUCUUUUAUAUGUGAGCAGUGGGUUCUACGUUAAUAGCGUGGGAUCAGGGAUAUUAGCAUAUGAAUAAGCAACGGCUAACUCCGUGCCAGCAGCCGCGGUAAUACGGAGGAUGCGAGCGUUAUCCGGAUUUACUGGGUGUAAAGGGCUCGUAGGCGGUAACUCAAGUCAGUUGUGAAAACCGACGGCUUAACCGGAGGAUUGCAGUUGAUACUGGGUUACUUGAGGCAAGGAGAGGAAGGUGGAAUUCCUAGUGUAGCGGUGAAAUGCGUAGAUAUUAGGAGGAACACCAGUGGCGAAGGCGGCCUGCUGGACAUCAACUGACGCUGAUGCGCGAAAGCGCGGGGAG